GCACCCCUUGCACACAGAAAAACACACAAUGCAUUACACACACACACACACACAAGCAAUUCAACCCUUACACACAAUGCAUCCCUUACACACACAGAAACACACAAUGCAUUCCUUACACACACUCAAUGCACCCCUUACACACACUCAAUGCACACCUUACAGACGCACACACUGCAUCCCGUACAUACAUAGAAACACACAUUGCAGCCC